rnacentral:rRNA from 1 species
CGCGUAGGCGGCCGCGUAAGUCACUUGUGAAAUCCCGGGGCUCAACUCCGGGGCUGCAGGUGAGACUGCGUGGCUAGAGCACGGUAGAGGCGAGUGGAAUUCCCGGUGUAGCGGUGGAAUGCGUAGAUAUCGGGAAGAACACCGGUGGCGAAGGCGGCUCGCUGGGCCGUUGCUGACGCUGAGGCGCGAAAGCGUGGGGAGCAAACAGGAUUAGAUACCCUGGUAGUCCACGCCGUAAACGAUGGGUACUAGGCGUCGGGGGGAGCGACCCUCCCGGUGCCGUCGCUAACGCAGUAAGUACCCCGCCUGGGGAGUACGGUCGCAAGACUGAA